AUUGAACGCUGGCGGCAGGCCUAACACAUGCAAGUCGAGCGGAUGAAGGGAGCUUGCUCCUGGAUUCAGCGGCGGACGGGUGAGUAAUGCCUAGGAAUCUGCCUGGUAGUGGGGGAUAACGUCCGGAAACGGGCGCUAAUACCGCAUACGUCCUGAGGGAGAAAGUGGGGGAUCUUCGGACCUCACGCUAUCAGAUGAGCCUAGGUCGGAUUAGCUAGUUGGUGGGGUAAAGGCCUACCAAGGCGACGAUCCGUAACUGGUCUGAGAGGAUGAUCAGUCACACUGGAACUGAGACACGGUCCAGACUCCUACGGGAGGCAGCAGUGGGGAAUAUUGGACAAUGGGCGAAAGCCUGAUCCAGCCAUGCCGCGUGUGUGAGGAAGGUCUUCGGAUUGUAAGGCACUUUAAGUUGGGAGGAAGGGCAGUAAGUUAAUACCUUGCUGUUUUGACGUUACCAACAGAAUAAGCACCGGCUAACUUCGUG
rnacentral:rRNA from 1 species